AAGUCCCAUAACGAGCGCAACCCUAUCAUUAGUUGCCAUCAGGUCAAGCUGGGGACUCUAAUGAAACUGCCUACGCAAGUAGUGAGGAAGGUGGGGAUGACGUCAAAUCAGCACGGCCCUUACGUCCAGGGCUACACACGUGCUACAAUGGCCGGUACAAAGGGCAGCUACCUGGUGACAGGAUGCAAAUCUCCAAAGUCGGUCUCAGUUCGGAUCGGAGUCUGCAACCCGACUCCGUGAAGUUGGAUUCGCUAGUAAUCGCGCAUCAGCCAUGGCGCGGUGAAUACGUUCCCGGGCCUU
rnacentral:rRNA from 1 species